rnacentral:rRNA from 1 species
UGGGGAAUAUUGGACAAUGGGCGAAAGCCUGAUCCAGCCAUGCCGCGUGUGUGAAGAAGGUCUUCGGAUUGUAAAGCACUUUAAGUUGGGAGGAAGGGCAUUAACCUAAUACGUUAGUGUUUUGACGUUACCGACAGAAUAAGCACCGGCUAACUCUGUGCCAGCAGCCGCGGUAAUACAGAGGGUGCAAGCGUUAAUCGGAAUUACUGGGCGUAAAGCGCGCGUAGGUGGUUUGUUAAGUUGGAUGUGAAAUCCCCGGGCUCAACCUGGGAACUGCAUUCAAAACUGACUGACUAGAGUAUGGUAGAGGGUGGUGGAAUUUC